rnacentral:rRNA from 1 species
GACGAACGCUGGCGGCGUGCCUAAUACAUGCAAGUAGAACGCUGAAGAGAGGAGCUUGCUCUUCUUGGAUGAGUUGCGAACGGGUGAGUAACGCGUAGGUAACCUGCCUUGUAGCGGGGGAUAACUAUUGGAAACGAUAGCUAAUACCGCAUAACAAUGGAUGACACAUGUCAUUUAUUUGAAAGGGGCAAUUGCUCCACUACAAGAUGGACCUGCGCUGUAUUAGCUAGUAGGUGAGGUAAGGGCUCACCUAGGCGACGAUACAUAGCCGACCUGAGAGGGUGAUCGGCCACACUGGGACUGAGACACGGCCCAGACUCCUACGGGAGGCAGCAGUAGGGAAUCUUCGGCAAUGGGGGCAACCCUGACCGAGCAACGCCGCGUGAGUGAAGAAGGUUUUCGGAUCGUAAAGCUCUGUUGUAAGUCAAGAACGGGUGUGAGAGUGGAAAGUUCACACUGUGACGGUAGCUUACCAGAAAGGGACGGCUAACUACGUG